AGAUGGUGGGGAACAGGCCCCUGUUGGUGCCUCAUUUCUGAAGCUGAACCCCGACAGUGGACAUGUCUGCAAGAAACAUGGCGGUGGAGUAGUAUGCUUGUCCUCUCUGUCCAGAAAGCAUUCCAUUUCCUGAAUGCUUUGGCCAACCCUGGUAUUGGGGUGAGGACGGGAUGUGGGGUGUGGAGAUCGGCUUCAGUGCUGGGCUCGCGCUGCACUUCCAACGUCUUUGUGGGGGUGACAAUUUAGUGUCAACGCACCGAUGGAGUUUCCAAGACCCAGACUUGAGAACGCCUCAGGCCUGGGCUUCAGAGAGCUCUGAGGCCUACAGUGGCAGCCUCUGGCAUGAGAGUUGUUAAUCCACCAGAGGACGAGUUUAAAACAAACUACUCAGGAAUGAGGGCUAAUAAAGUCGAAGGAAGGAGCUGGCAUUUGCAAGAACAUUGCAGGAAGAGUGAGAUCAAGGAGACAGGAGGGAACUGCCCAAGGCCUGAGGUGGACAGAGGUGGCCCCUCAGCAAACUGGUCUGGACCGCACGCCUCCAUAUGGCCUACACCAAGACUUCCUACUUCCCUCCUGAAAUCCCUUCUGUGAAGAGAGAUUUAUCAAGACGAUGUGAGGCACCUGUGAGUUCUGGCAGCGCAUCCCUGUGGCUUUCCCAUGCUCCUGCCUCAUGCGUACUGAAGUAAACUCUGAGACGUGAUUGAUGCCAGUGACCCCUUCCCCACAGGAUG
rnacentral:lncRNA from 1 species